rnacentral:rRNA from 1 species
AGCAUUAUACCGUGAAACUGCGAAUGGCUCAUUAAAUCAGUUAUCGUUUAUUUGAUAGUACCUUACUACUUGGAUAACCGUGGUAAUUCUAGAGCUAAUACAUGCUUAAAACCCCAACUUCGGGAGGGGUGUAUUUAUUAGAUAAAAAACCAACGCCCUUCGGGGCUUCUUGGUGAUUCAUGAUAACUUUACGGAUCGCAUGGCCUUGCGCCGGCGACGGUUCAUUCAAAUUUCUGCCCUAUCAACUUUCGAUGGUAAGGUAUUGGCUUACCAUGGUUUCAACGGGUAACGGGGAAUUAGGGUUCGAUUCCGGAGAGGGAGCCUGAGAAACGGCUACCACAUCCAAGGAAGGCAGCAGGCGCGCAAAUUACCCAAUCCCGACACGGGGAGGUAGUGACAAUAAAUACUGAUACAGGGCUCUUUUGGGUCUUGUAAUUGGAAUGAGUACAAUUUAAACCUCUUAACGAGGAACAAUUGGAGGGCAAGUCUGGUGCCAGCAGCCGCGGUAAUUCCAGCUCCAAUAGCGUAUAUUAAAGUUGUUGCAGUUAAAAAGCUCGUAGUUGAACCUUGGGUCUGGCUGGCAGGUCCGCCUCACCGCGUGUACUUGUCCGGCCGGGCCUUCCUUCUGGAGAACCUCAUGCCCUUUACUGGGCGUGUUGGGGACCAGGACUUUUACUUUGAAAAAAUUAGAGUGUUCAAAGCAGGCCUUUGCUCGAAUACGUUAGCAUGGAAUAAUAGAAUAGGACGUGCGGUCCUAUUUUGUUGGUUUCUAGGACCGCCGUAAUGAUUAAUAGGGACAGUCGGGGGCAUCAGUAUUCAAUUGUCAGAGGUGAAAUUCUUGGAUUUAUUGAAGACUAACUACUGCGAAAGCAUUUGCCAAGGAUGUUUUCAUUAAUCAGUGAACGAAAGUUAGGGGAUCGAAGACGAUCAGAUACCGUCGUAGUCUUAACCGU